AUCUACUGGAAACAGUGGAGAGGGAGGAGAUGAUAUGCAGCAAAAGGCCCAGCUGGAUGGUUGCUGCUCCGUGUGGAACGUGUUCUAUCAGGUGUAACAUCUACCAAUGGUUGUACAUGACAUAGACCUCCUCCACCUCUUUGCUGUCCUACUAGUCAACCCUUCUGAUCAGAGCCUUUCCUAAAUAGUGAAAGGAUCAUGCCAGCCCACAUCAAACACCUGAUCAAGAA